AACGCACAUUGCGCCCUUUGGUAUUCCAAAGGGCAUGCCUGUUCGAGCGUCAUUUGUACCCUCAAGCUUUGCUUGGUGUUGGGCGUUUUUUGUCUUUGGUUGCCAAAGACUCGCCUUAAAACGAUUGGCAGCCGGCCUCCUGGUUUCGCAGCGCAGCACAUUUUUGCGCUUGCAAUCAGCAACAGAGGGCGGCACUCCAUCAAGACUCCAUUUUCACGUUUGACCUCGGAUCAGGUAGGGAUACCCGCUGAACUUAA
rnacentral:misc_RNA from 1 species